UACAGAGGGGCGAGCGUUGUUCGGAAUUACUGGACGUAAAGGGCGCGUAGGCGGCCCGCUAAGUCGAACGUGAAUCCCAGGGCUUAACCUUGGAACUGCAUUUUAACUACCGGGCUAGAGUGUGUCAGAGGGGGUGGAAUUCCACGUGUAGCAGGUGGAAAUGCGUAGAUAUGUGGAGGAACACCGAUGGCGAAGGCAGCCCCUGGGAUAACACUGACGCCUCAUGCACGAAAGCGUG
rnacentral:rRNA from 1 species